GGGAAUAUUGCACAAUGGGCGAAAGCCUGAUGCAGCGACGCCGCGUGAGUGAAGAAGUAUCUCGGUAUGUAAAGCUCUAUCAGCAGGGAAGAAAAUGACGGUACCUGACUAAGAAGCCACGGCUAACUACGUUCCAGCAGCCGCGGUAAUACGUAGGGGGCAAGCGUUAUCCGGAUUUACUGGGUGUAAAGGGAGCGUAGACGGCGACGCAAGUCUGGAGUGAAAGCCCGGGGCCCAACCCCGGGACUGCUUUGGAAACUGUGCUGCUGGAGUGCAGGAGAGGUAAGUGGAAUUCCUAGUGUAGCGGUGAAAUGCGUAGAUAUUAGGAGGAACACCAGUGGCGAAGGCGGCUUACUGGACUGUAACUGACGUUGAGGCUCGAAAGCGUGGGGAGCAAACAGG
rnacentral:rRNA from 1 species